rnacentral:rRNA from 1 species
UACGUAGGCAGCAAGCGUUGUUCGGAAUUACUGGGCGUAAAGAGUGUGUAGGCGGUGCUCUAAGUUCGGUGUGAAAUCUCCCGGCUUAACUGGGAGGGUGCGCCGGAAACUGGAGUGCUCGAGCGUGGGAGAGGAAAGCGGAAUUCCUGGUGUAGCGGUGAAAUGCGUAGAUAUCAGGAGGAACACCAGUGGCGAAGGCGACUACCUGGCCUGUUCUUGACGCUGAGGCGCGAAAGCUAGGGGAGCAAACGGG